rnacentral:rRNA from 1 species
UACAGAGGGUGCGAGCGUUGUCCGGAAUCACUGGGCGUAAAGGGCGCGUAGGUGGUGGCUUAAGCGUGCGGUGAAAGCUCGGGGCUCAACUCCGAGUCGGCCGUGCGAACUGGGCUCACUGGAGCAUAGUAGAGGCAGGUGGAAUUCCGGGUGUAGCGGUGGAAUGCGCAGAUAUCAGGAGGAACACCGGCGGCGAAGGCGGCACUCUGGGCCGGUACUGACGCUGAGGAGCGAAAGCGUGGGUAGCAAACAGG